GUGGAAUUUUCUAAAUGUUCUCUCAUUUGCGAUGCUAGGCUACUUCAGAAGCCAUCCCAGGAGCAUUAAUCCCCCGGUUUCAGCUGUAGCUACUCUUAAGAUUAUACUAAGCACUGUAACACCUGCUUUCUCAUACACCACAUCUUGUGGUAAUCAACGAGAAGUCCAGCGAGGUGUUCACUUUGGAGGUAUGCUGCACCUUUGAGGCUUUUGACACCAAGGUCAUUACCACACCUAAACACCAUCUCAGAGCAAGGCUAUAGGGGCAGACUGCUUGUUUUCAUAUUCAGC